GACGAACGCUGGCGGCGUGCUUAACACAUGCAAGUCGAACGGGAACCUUUAUUUCGGUAAAGGUGAGAGUGGCAAACGGGUGAGUAACACGUAGGCAACCUGCCGACAGGAUGGGGACAACAUUCCGAAAGGAAUGCUAAUACCGAAUGGAGUCCGAGGAUGGCAUCAUCCUUGGAUAAAAGAUGGCCUCUGAAUAUGCUAUCGCCUGUCGAUGGGCCUGCGUCCGAUUAGCCAGUUGGCGGGGUAACGGCCCACCAAAGCGACGAUCAGUAGCCGGUCUGAGAGGAUGAACGGCCACAUUGGGACUGAGACACGGCCCAGACUCCUACGGGAGGCAGCAGUGGGGAAUCUUCCACAAUGGGCGAAAGCCUGAUGGAGCAACGCCGCGUGAGUGAAGAAGGUCUUCGGAUCGUAAAGCUCUGUUGCACGGGACGAAAACCGAGCUUGAAAAUAUUGAGGUGGGGACGGACC
rnacentral:rRNA from 1 species